AGAUUAAUAUAUUAUUAGUAUGUAAAAUUGCAAGUUUUAACGAAUAUCUU
rnacentral:tRNA from 1 species